rnacentral:rRNA from 1 species
GACGAACGCUGGCGGCGUGCUUAACACAUGCAAGUCGAACGGUGAAGCGCCUUCCUUUUUGGUGGGUGUGGAUGAGUGGCGAACGGGUGAGUAACACGUGAGUAACCUGCCCCCUUCUUCUGGAUAACCGCAUGAAAGUGUGGCUAAUACGGGAUAUUCUGGGUCUGUCGCAUGAUGGGUCUGGGAAAGAUAUUGUUUCGGUGGGGGAUGGGCUCGCGGCCUAUCAGCUUGUUGGUGGGGUGAUGGCCUACCAAGGCGGUGACGGGUAGCCGGCCUGAGAGGGUCGACGGUAACACUAGGAAUGAGAGACCGCCACGCCUCCUACGGGAGGCAGCAGGGGGGAAUAGUGCACAAUGGGCGCAAGGCUGAUGCAGCGACGCCGCGUGAGGGAUGGAGGCCUGCGGGUUGUGAACCUCUUUCGCCAGUGAAGCAGGCCUGCCUCGUUUGUGGGUGGGUUGACGGUAGCUGGAGAAGAAGCGCCGGCUAACUACGUG